rnacentral:rRNA from 1 species
UGGGGAAUUUUGGACAAUGGGCGAAAGCCUGAUCCAGCAAUGCCGCGUGUGUGAAGAAGGCCUUCGGGUUGUAAAGCACUUUUGUCCGGAAAGAAAUCCUUGGCUCUAAUACAGUCGGGGGAUGACGGUACCGGAAGAAUAAGCACCGGCUAACUACGUGCCAGCAGCCGCGGUAAUACGUAGGGUGCAAGCGUUAAUCGGAAUUACUGGGCGUAAAGCGUGCGCAGGCGGUUUGCUAAGACCGAUGUGAAAUCCCCGGGCUCAACCUGGGAACUGCAUUGGUGACUGGCAGGCUAGAGUAUGGCAGAGGGGGGUAGAAUUCCACGUGUAGCAGUGAAAUGCGUAGAGAUGUGGAGGAAUACCGAUGGCGAAGGCGAGCCCCCUGGGCCAAUACUGACGCUCAUGCACGAAAGCGUGGGGAGCAAACAGGAUUAGAUACCCUGGUAGUCCACGCCCUAAACGAUGUCAACUAGUUGUUGGGGGAUUCAUUUCCUUAGUAACGUAGCUAACGCGUGAAGUUGACCGCCUGGGGGAGUACGGUCGCAAGAUUAAAACUUAAAGAAUUGACGGGGU